AUGGUUACUUCAUUAGCACAUAUACUAAAAUUUAAUUGAUACAGUGAUUAGCAUGGCCCCUGUGCAAGGAUGACAUGCAAAUUCAUGAAGUACUCCAUAUUUCG
ensembl:snRNA U6 U6 spliceosomal RNA